ACUCUCAUUGGUCAUGUAGAUGCCCAUGCCCCUCUGAUAUCCCUUGAGAGGCUUUAUAACCAACAAGCUGAUCUAAUAGCUGCUGUUCGAGAAAUCAACCUGGAAGAAGCCUCUGUAGCAAAUGAAGACCUGUGCACCUAUGCUGAAGUAAAUGUAAUCGAGCCUUCCUUAAUAUCAUUAGCAAGGUGGGCUCAUGAAACUUCAGGACACAUGGGAGCAGAAAAAACAUAUCAAUGGUGUCAUCAGUAAUGUAUGCCAGUCACUAUUGAUAUUGUUAAACAAAUAGUGAACAAUUGCUCCACAUGUACAGAAGUAAAACAAUGGCCCCUACAGAAGAAGGCAACUGGUAAACUGAAGAGAGGAAUGGGACCAGGACAAAUUUGGCAGGUGGAUUACAUUGGGCCACUGCCACGAGAAAAUAGACUAUUAUAUGCUUUAACUGCAGUAGAUACUUAUUCUGGACUGUUACAAGCUUAUCCAUCAACAAGAGCUGACCAGAAAGCUACACUUAAUGGACUGAGCCAGUUAAUCCAAGCAUAUGGAGUGCCUGAAGAAAUCCAAAGUGAUCAAGGAAGCCACUUUGCUGGAAGAGACGUACAAGAGUGGGCUCAAGGAGCUGGCAUUCAAUGGACUCUGCAUAUCCCUUAUCACCCACAGGCUGCAGGACUUAUUGAGAGAAUGAAUGGCCUGUUGAAAGAACAAGUUAAAAAACUAACUGGGCACAAUCAUCUUAAAGGCUGGACUAAAGUUUUAAAGCAAGCCUUAUUUAAUCUCAAUAAUCGUCCGUUGGCUGGGUCCACACCUUUUAUGAGACAUCAAAAUGUCGGAGGAGAGCCACCUGUGUGUGCCCUCCGCCUGACAACAAUUAGUCCACUGGCAAACAAUGAAUUAACUCCCACAGGGUUAUUGGUUAGGGCACCUAAAUCACUUACAAUCAAGUUAAACUCCUCAGAAAGACUCAGCUUGGGAAUAACAGAUUAUCCUCACGUGUGGAAUAAUCGGGAUAGAUGGUUUAUGGACCGGAUGGAGUCGAUGCACCCCCUAUAACAAAGUCUUUUGGGCUGCUGAUACGCCAGGAACGGAAAAGUAUGUGACCUUGAACUUCACCCUUACCAAGAACUGUACCUGGCAGUUACGAGACAAGACAUCUACGGCUCCAUUUCACAUGAAACUGGAAUAUCCUGACUUGUUACCUUUACCUGUGAUGACUUAUGAAGACACUGCAAUAACUGUGACUGUGCAUAAUAACGUAUCUGUCUGGUUGGCUAUGAUGAACUGUAAACCUGAUUCUAAUGGACUAUCAUGUUGGACAAUUGAAGGGGGGCAACAACUGACUGCAAUAUCAACACCUGAAAAUGAUGUAAUAUUAUAUGUGUUUAAACAGGAAGCAACAACAAAUGUAAAAGCACCAGUAAUGUUAUGGGAAAUUCAUAAGACUAGGAGAGGGAAUGGUUAUCCAUUUGAUGCAACAUUACUUAGACAAAUGAAAGGUUGUAAAAAAGCUAGGAUAGCACAUAAAAUAAUUACUGUAGCACUCAACAUUAAUGUUAGUAGGUUUGAUAUAAAACGUCGAGAGUUUUCAAGAGGAGAACAUAUAGUACCACGCAGUACAGGUGCGACAUAUAAGUGUAAAACAUACAAUCCUUAUGGCCUCCUCAUAAGGUAGAAAUAAAACGAAGGCCAAAGCGAGACAUGUGGGGAGCUAUAGGAACUGGUUUAGGAGUAGGAGGUUUAGGUUUAGGAUCUCUUAAUACUGCUGAUAUAGCAGCAAUAUAUCACAAAAUAUCAUCUAUUGGUGUGAAACAAGCCAAUAGUUUGCAAACUUUGGCUCAUUGGGGGCCAGAGUUGGCAGACAGGCAUAUACAGGAGUUGCUAUUAUGGAAGACUCACCAUGGGUGGUUAAAUGAGUCCUUAUGGACUGGUUUACAAAGCCAAUGGGCCAUAGAUGAAGAAUCAGCUUGCUAUUUAAAACAGAUUAUUGCUAUACAGCAGUAUUUAAAUUUUAAGACAGAUUGGGGAUUCAAAAACCCCCAACAUUGAAGAAACGAAUUAAAAUUACCAGCAGACUGGUGGUUGCAGCCUAAAUCCUUCAUGUGUGAGGAAUCAAUAUGCCAAGCUGUAGUUCAGGUAGCAACCACUGCUGAAGAAGACAAUGUUUGGUGUCCGUUUCAUGUCUUACCUGUUUUACUAGGAGGAACAUGGUGGACACCCAUAGUAGAUAGACAAUGGAUAGAUCUAAAUAAUAAUACUGUUGAACCUGCCUUUUGUUAUAACUGGCAAGAAGGGUUCGUAUGUCAAAGGGUGGGUACAUUGCCACACCCCUGUUUGCAUCCUUUAGCUGGAGACUGUUAUUGGCGCCAAAUAGCAGUAAACUCCACUGAAGUGUUUCAAACUGAUACCACUUCUGCAUGUGCAGUGACAGUAAAUAACAUCACUUGGAGUGAUGGUACCCACUACAAGGGCCCAGGGGUAUCCUGUCGCACCAAUGUGAGUAAUAUACGAGAUGACUAUUAUGGAAGAACCUACAUGUUAACUACAUGGGAGGAUAUACAUUGGGAAGCAGAAGCUAACCCAUUCCUGAAUUUACGCUUUGCCUACGAAAUAGAACUACCGAAAUAUAAAGCGAUUUUAGAGCAUGCUAAACAAUAUGAACAUCUUUUUAAUGUAACGUUACAAAAAGCAACGGACCUACUAGUAAGAUUGAAAACAGAUGAAACAAAAGUAAUUACCUCUGCAGAAGAAAUUGAAGAAAUAUCCACACAUCACUGGUGGGAUUUUUUCACUAAGUGGUCACCAUCGAGUAAUACUAUUGUAAAUGUACUUGUUCAUCCAAUUGUACUGUUAAUUAUUAUUAUUAUCAUUUUUACCAUUACCAAUAUUUACUUACAUUUGCGUAUUAGACAAGUGAAGCAGGAGCUAGACCGGCACUACACCCCACGUCGUUACAAGCAUUCUUGAGGAGCUGUUUACAUUGUGAAGGGGGACUGAGUACCUUUUGCUUUGUGAAUAAGAUUCUCAGGGAUUGUUUUGUCACAGAUCCAGUGACAAAGGGU